UACGUAGGGUGCGAGCGUUGUCCGGAAUUAUUGGGCGUAAAGAGCUCGUAGGCGGCUUGUCGCGUCGGAUGUGAAAGCCUGGGGCUUAACUCCGGGUCUGCAUUCGAUACGGGCAGGCUAGAGUUCGGUAGGGGAGAUCGGAAUUCCUGGUGUAGCGGUGAAAUGCGCAGAUAUCAGGAGGAACACCGGUGGCGAAGGCGGGUCUCUGGGCCGUAACUGACGCUGAGGAGCGAAAGCGUGGGGAGCGAACAGG
rnacentral:rRNA from 1 species